rnacentral:rRNA from 1 species
AGAGUUUGAUCCUGGCUCAGGAUGAACGCUAGCGAAAUGCCUAACACAUGCAAGUCGAACGGACCUUGCCUUGUGCUUGCACAAAGUAAGGUUAGUGGCAAACGAGCGAGUAACGCGUGCUUAACCUGCCCCGAAGAUGGGAAUAACUGCAGAGAUGUAGCUAAUUCCCAAUAUGCUCACGAUGGUGAAAUUCCGAUGUGAGGAAAGAUUUAUCGCUUCGGGAGGGGGUGCGUCCUAUCAGGUAGUUGGUAAGGUAAUGGCUUACCAAGCCUAUGACGGGUAACCGGUCUGAGAUGAUGUCCGGUCGCGAUGGGACUGAGAUACGGCCCAUACUCCUACGGGAGGCAGCAGUGGGGAAUCUUGCACAAUGGACGAAAGUCUGAUGCAGCAAUUUCGCGUGAAGGAUGAAGCAUUACGGUGUGUAAACUUCUUUUUGGAGGAAGACGAAUGACGGUACUUCAAGAAUAAGAGACGGCUAACUACGUG